rnacentral:misc_RNA from 1 species
AGUUAAACAGUACGUGAAAUUGUUGAAAGGGAAACGAUUGAAGCCAGUCGUACCUUCGGGUAAUCAGCCUUUCGGGUGCGAUUCUGUGGGGUUUGAGGAGCUUAACACCUUCAUGCUUUGCAUAUUCGUGCUCUUGGGUGUACUUGCCCGUGUGGUUGGUUAACAUCAAUUUUGGUGGUCAUAAAAUGACUGGAGGAAUGUAGCUUCGAUCUUGUAUUGAAGUGUUAUAGCCUUCGGUAGAUGUGAUGAUCGAGAUUGAGGAUUGCAACGGAUACCCUUCGGGGCUACCUGUCUGGUCUCUGAUCGUUGCUCUGGUGCCGAAAGCUUGCUUACGGUUAUCAAAGUCGAUGGUCAAUAGGUUAGAACGGGUUAAAUUCGUUAAGGAUGUUGACGUAAUGGCUUUAAA